AGAAAAAAAUGACACAGACGUAUUAUAUUUAUAAUUCACCAGACAAUGUUUAUUCAGACGACCUCACAACUCCCAAGCGUACAAAAUAUGAAGUGCUGCUGCUCACUGGGCAAAUGCGGGGGCGGGACAAAAUUUCAGUUCUAUAUUACAAUAAUAAUAAUAAUAAUAAUAAUAAUAAUAAUAAUAAUAAUAAUAAUAAUAAUAAUAGUAA